GUUCAAUCAAGGAAAUAGAUUAAUCAUAUACGGUAGAAUUCUAACAUAGAAAUUUUUAUUUUCGGAAAAGAAAGAAGAAUAUCUCAGUCAUCACAUUGUCAUUGAUUAAACAAAUCCUCUUGAUGAAUCAUUUAUGAUAUAUAGCUCUAUGCAAUUUGACCAUAAAUAUUCUAAAAAUUAAAUGUGACCCAGUAAGCUUAUGGAUGUAGUGCAACAAAACAUGGAGCACAUUGAAGCAAAUCAUAUAGUAGAUAUUACAUGUUUGUUAUUGACAAAGCAACCCUAGAAAAAUGUCACCCAAAAUCACUUAUGAUAUAUAACACUUUUGAUUCCUUGCAGAAAAUAUAAAAGAAAGAGAAUCUACUUUUCAACCAGGUGACAAUCCUCCUCCUCGUUAUUUCUCGUAGACUGGCAACAAAUAUGGAACAGGGGAGGGUAUGUCAUCUUAAAAUAAAAGGGAAUGGAGGGCUCUCCAAAGGGAAAUAAUUAAUUAAUAAUUUUCGGAUUAAUUAUUCAAUUAAUUAAUUUCAUUCAUAAUUUAUCAGCACAAUAAAAAAAAUAAGAAUCAAACAUUAACUAUUUUCCUUAAUUAAAUUUCUCAAUCAAGAAAAUAGAUUAAUCAUAUAAGGUAAAAUCCUAACAUGAAAAUUUUUAUUUUUGGAAAAGUAAGAAAAGUAUCUCAGUGAUUACAUUUACAUUGGUUGAACAUAUCUUCUUGAUGGAUCAUUUAUGAUACAUAGCUCUGUCCAAUCUAACCAUAAAUGUUCAGAAAAUCAGAUGUGACCUGGUAAGCUUAUGGAUGUAAUGAAAGGAAACAUGGAGUACAUUGAAGCAAAUAAUAUAGUAGAUAGUACAUGUUUGUUGUUGACAAAGAAAUUUUAGAAAAUGUCACCCAAAAUCCAGGAUGUCUAACCAUGAACUAUAGGUGCUGACAGAAGCUAGCAAUUCAUAUGAAACAUAGUAGCCAUGAGCUGGAAAUACCUAAAGGAGCUCAUGCAAUGGGGAAUCAUGUUAUAUGCCAAUCAGCAAGCUGAAAGAUCGUCUAGGGUAGUAAUUAGUGAGAACAACAGAGAACAGAACAACAUGUCUUCAAAAAGCAAAGUAACAAUGACUCCACACAAUGAAAUUUAAAAAAUUGCUGCAUAAAUAUAAUCUUUUCUAAUUUUCAAUAUUCAUAUGCACUUCUAAAUAACCUCGAACAAGAUUUGCACAAAUUAACAAGAAAAGUGAGAGAAUUUAAAAGCUAGGCGUCCAACAUCUUAGACAUGCAUUAAUUCAAUGCAGGGUUCUGCGGUCACUGGAAGAACUUUCAAUUCUUAUCUAUAAUUUAAUUAAGUUCCCCAACAAAAUAUCAAACUAGCAUAAUAUCAAUCCAUAACAUCAGUUCCCAUUGUAAGGAUAAACCUUAUCAUUGUCUUCAAUCAAAACCUACCACACGUCCACCGGUUUGGCCUCUUAAAAUCCCUUUAUUUUGCACUAAUGUAACUACAGUUCCUGCCGAUAAGGAACUAAGAAAAACAAAAAAACGAGGUUCAAUUUUCAACUUUCGUUUCAACAAAAUACACGAAAAUUUCGACUUGAGAAAGGUCUUAAGGGGCUACCUUUUAUCGUAUAAUUAAACUACAACUAACUUUAUUUUCCCUAAUUCUCACAACAAGUUCGCGAUCAAGAAGGGACUUCUCCGAAUCCUAACGAUGCUAAGAUCAAUCCAACCAAGAAUUCGUACGAUCCAAAAAAAAAAAAACAUACAAUCGAUCAAUAGCACGGUCAUCUAAUUUUGAACAAAAUUGAAACCAUAGAGGUGUCGAAGAUCGAUCUUCUACCGCAAAAGUCCCCAAUCGAACAAAUUCAGAUCGUCGCGAGAUACAAGAAUAAAAGAGAAUCGGCUAUACUGCCACAAAUACAACCAGCAUGUACAAAUUCGAUCAAUAAAGAUCCAUAAGCAACUAUAAACCGUCAUUUUGGGACGCGAUUAGACGACAUCAGAAACCCUGAAGAACACAAUUAUCUUUUGCGAAGAAACAAAAGGCGGUGAACUUACCUCCUGGCGAU
rnacentral:lncRNA from 1 species